rnacentral:rRNA from 1 species
AUUGAACGCUGGCGGCAGGCCUAACACAUGCAAGUCGAACGAGUGGCGGACGGGUGAGUAAUGUAUGGGAAACUGCCCGAUGGCGGGGGAUAACUACUGGAAACGGUCGCUAAUACCGCAUACCAUCGGAUGUGCCCAGAUGGGAUUAGCUAGUAGGUGGGGUAAAGUCUCACCUAGGCGACGAUCCAUAGCUGGUCUGAGAGGAUGACCAGCCACACUGGAACUGAGACACGGUCCAGACUCCGACGGGAGGCAGCAGUGGGGAAUAUUGCACAAGGGGAGCAAGCCUUAUGCAGCCAUGCCGCGUGUGUGAAGAAGGCCUUCGGGUUGUAAAGCACUUUCAGCGGGGAGGCGUUACCCGCAGAAGAAGCACCGGCUAACUCCGUGCCAGCAGCCGCGGUAAUAC